rnacentral:rRNA from 1 species
GAUGAACGCUGACAGAAUGCUUAACACAUGCAAGUCUACUUGAACUUCGGUUUGGGUGGCGGACGGGUGAGUAACGCGUAAAGAACUUGCCUCACAGUUCGGGACAACAUUUGGAAACGAAUGCUAAUACCUGAUAUUAUGAUUUUAGGGCAUCCUAAAAUUAUGAGAGCUAUAUGCGCUGUGAGAGGGCUUUGCGUCCCAUUAGCUAGUUGGAGAGGUAACGGCUCACCAAGGCGAUGAUGGGUAGCCGGCCUGAGAGGGUGAACGGCCACAAGGGGACGGAGAGACACCCGUCACACCUACGUGAGGCAGGAGUGGGGAGGAUUGGACGAUGGACCAAAAGUCGGAUGCAGCAAUUCUGUGGGGAGGAUGAUGUUUUUCGGAAUGUAGAGUGCUUUCAGUAGGGAAGAAAAAAAUGACGGUACCAGCAGAAGAAGUGACGGCUAAAUACGUG